UACGUAGGGUGCGAGCGUUAAUCGGAAUUACUGGGCGUAAAGCGUGUGCAGGCGGUCCGUUGGGUCUGAUGUGAAAGCCCCGGGCUCAACCUGGGAAUGGCAUUGGAAACUGGCGAGCUAGAGUGUGGCAGAGGGGGGUGGAAUUCCGCGUGUAGCAGUGAAAUGCGUAGAGAUGCGGAGGAACACCGAUGGCGAAGGCAGCCCCCUGGGCUGACACUGACGCUCAGGCACGAAAGCGUGGGGAGCAAACAGG
rnacentral:rRNA from 1 species